rnacentral:rRNA from 1 species
CUACGGGCCGCAGCAGUAAGGAAUAUUGCGCAAUGGAGGCAACUCUGACGCAGCCAUGCCGCGUGCAGGAAGAAGGCCUUAUGGGUCGUAAACUGCUUUUAUUUAGGAAUAAACCCCCGAACGUGUUCGGGGCUGAAGGUACUAAACGAAUAAGCACCGGCUAACUCCGUGCCAGCAGCCGCGGUAAUACGGAGGGUGCAAGCGUUAUCCGGAUUUAUUGGGUUUAAAGGGUCGCAGGCGGGCUAUUAAGUCAGUGGUGAAAUCCCGGGGCUCAACUCCGGAACUGCCAUUGAUACUGAUAGUCUUGAGUUUGGUUGAAGUGGGCGGAAUGUAGCAUGUAGCGGUGAAAUGCAUAGAUAUGCUACAGAACACCAAUCGCGAAGGCAGCUCACUAAGCCAAAACUGACGCUCAUGCACGAAAGCGUGGGGAUCAAACAGGAUUAGAUACCCUAGUAGUC